rnacentral:lncRNA from 1 species
UAAACUUCAAAUACCACUUUUGUGAUUUCAUAUUUUCUUAUUUUAGUACUCUGUGAUUUAAAAUAUAUCAAUUUAGUAUUAUAUAAUUUUUUUUCUUUUCGUCAACUUCUCCGUUAGUAUUUUGUUAAACUAUAUACAAAAAAACUUUAGAUACCCCGACUAAAUUUAUCGAAUAUUCACUUUAGUACAUUUUAAUUUAAACUUUAUCACUGAUUUAAUAAAAAAGAAUUAAUGGAGAGGAUAGUAAAAAGAGAAAAAUAAAAUAAUAGCUUACUAAAUUGAUACACUUUAAAUUAUAGAAUAUUAAAAUAAAAAAUCGGAGUUGUAUUUGAAAUUAUUUUAAAAAAAAAAUUUCUAGGCAUUGAGUGAUUGAUCGUUUAAUU